AAAUUGAAGAGUUUGAUCAUGGCUCAGAUUGAACGCUGGCGGCAGGCCUAACACAUGCAAGUCGAACGGUAACAGGAAGAAGCUUGCUUCUUUGCUGACGAGUGGCGGACGGGUGAGUAAUGUCUGGGAAACUGCCUGAUGGAGGGGGAUAACUACUGGAAACGGUAGCUAAUACCGCAUAACGUCGCAAGACCAAAGAGGGGGACCUUCGGGCCUCUUGCCAUCGGAUGUGCCAGAUGGGAUUAGCUAGUAGGUGGGGUAACGGCUCACCUAGGCGACGAUCCCUAGCUGGUCUGAGAGGAUGACCAGCCACACUGGAACUGAGACACGGUCCAGACUCCUACGGGAGGCAGCAGUGGGGAAUAUUGCACAAUGGGCGCAAGCCUGAUGCAGCCAUGCCGCGUGUAUGAAGAAGGCCUUCGGGUUGUAAAGUACUUUCAGCGGGGAGGAAGGGAGUAAAGUUAAUACCUUUGCUCAUUGACGUUACCCGCAGAAGAAGCACCGGCUAACUCCGUGCCAGCAGCCGCGGUAAUACGGAGGGUGCAAGCGUUAAUCGGAAUUACUGGGCGUAAAGCGCACGCAGGCGGUUUGUUAAGUCAGAUGUGAAAUCCCCGGGCUCAACCUGGGAACUGCAUCUGAUACUGGCAAGCUUGAGUCUCGUAGAGGGGGGUAGAAUUCCAGGUGUAGCGGUGAAAUGCGUAGAGAUCUGGAGGAAUACCGGUGGCGAAGGCGGCCCCCUGGACGAAGACUGACGCUCAGGUGCGAAAGCGUGGGGAGCAAACAGGAUUAGAUACCCUGGUAGUCCACGCCGUAAACGAUGUCGACUUGGAGGUUGUGCCCUUGAGGCGUGGCUUCCGGAGCUAACGCGUUAAGUCGACCGCCUGGGGAGUACGGCCGCAAGGUUAAAACUCAAAUGAAUUGACGGGGGCCCGCACAAGCGGUGGAGCAUGUGGUUUAAUUCGAUGCAACGCGAAGAACCUUACCUGGUCUUGACAUCCACGGAAGUUUUCAGAGAUGAGAAUGUGCCUUCGGGAACCGUGAGACAGGUGCUGCAUGGCUGUCGUCAGCUCGUGUUGUGAAAUGUUGGGUUAAGUCCCGCAACGAGCGCAACCCUUAUCCUUUGUUGCCAGCGGUCCGGCCGGGAACUCAAAGGAGACUGCCAGUGAUAAACUGGAGGAAGGUGGGGAUGACGUCAAGUCAUCAUGGCCCUUACGACCAGGGCUACACACGUGCUACAAUGGCGCAUACAAAGAGAAGCGACCUCGCGAGAGCAAGCGGACCUCAUAAAGUGCGUCGUAGUCCGGAUUGGAGUCUGCAACUCGACUCCAUGAAGUCGGAAUCGCUAGUAAUCGUGGAUCAGAAUGCCACGGUGAAUACGUUCCCGGGCCUUGUACACACCGCCCGUCACACCAUGGGAGUGGGUUGCAAAAGAAGUAGGUAGCUUAACCUUCGGGAGGGCGCUUACCACUUUGUGAUUCAUGACUGGGGUGAAGUCGUAACAAGGUAACCGUAGGGGAACCUGCGGUUGGAUCACCUCCUUA
rnacentral:rRNA from 1 species